rnacentral:lncRNA from 10 species
AGAAAAACAUCAAAUAGCUUAUUUUAGUAAAGAGAACAAAAAUAACUAAUUAGCUAAAGCUUUCAUUUUUAUAGAUUAUAUUGAUAUUGUAUAUAUAACCAGGAAAAGUCAGCCAAAAUAAAAUGAAAAAAUUUUAAUUAGAUUGCAUUAUAAUAUAUAUUUACAGCUUGCCUGCCUCUGUAAGAAAAUCAUGCAAUAAAAUAAAGCAUACGAAACAAAACCAUAAAAGGGAAACUAGAGAAGAAAAUUACAUUAAGAAAACAUCCUUGAGAAAAGUCAUAGCACUUUAACAUGACACUUGGCUCUGAGUUUCCUGUAAGCCACCGUGAAGAGGAAAACAUGAUGAAAUACACACUUCUUAUUGUCCAAUAGAAGGAAAGAUUGUAGUUCAACAGAAGAGACAAACUUUUUCCUGGCCCUGAGAUAAUUUAUCAUAUCUGUACUUAUAUAGAUGACAUGGAGAAAAUAGAAACAGGAUCCUGAAUGUCAAUUUUACAAAUAAAGAUGAAAGACAAAAUAUAUGUGAGACCGUUUCUGUUUUCAGGAGUGAGUGAGAGAUGAGGACAUAACAUUCAGUCAUGGCGCUACAAAAGCUGUUUCCUAAAGCUUCGUUGAAUUGUGGUUGGAGGAUGUGGCCUGUGCAGAUUUUGCGUUGGUGUAUUUAUUAGUGUUUUCUUUGUGGCGGGGCUGUGUCAGUUUGCGUUGUUCUCAGUGCAAGUGCCUGAAAACCCAGCUGAGGGGCUUGAAUGACUAAGGGGCUGAUUUGUGCCCUACGACAAGUCCACAGGAGAAAGCCCAGGACCGCCUUGAAGGAAGCAGGCUCUUUCUGUUUUCCUGCUCUGCCAACUUAUGGAGAUGGUGCUGCUGCAUCUUGGGCAUCCUGUGUAUGGUCCAAGCAGGAAGGAAGAGGAACAGGGAGAGGAGGCACAUGUAGAUUUGUGUUUCUGUCUCUUUGGCAAGAACUGAACCAUAUGGGCACUGCCAGCCACAAGACAGCCUAGCUGGGCUUGUUUUCAGUUUUCUAAUCUCUAGCUUAGAGCAUAAAGUUUAUAAUGAUUGUUAGAUAGGCCAACCUAAUGAAUCUAGUACAAUAUCAAUUUUCAUAUAUGUAACAAAGAUACAGAAACUAUAUAUUUUUUGUAGGGGGUCCUUUGCUCUCCUAUAUUAAAAAUUAUUUAUGUCAUUGUUUAUUUUUUGCAUACUUGACCUGUCAAAAGCUAAAAGUGGUCUAAUAAAGUCUUGUGGAAU